GAUGAAGAACGCAGCGAAAUGCGAUAAGUAAUGUGAAUUGCAGAAUUCAGUGAAUCAUCGAAUCUUUGAACGCACAUUGCGCCCGCCAGUAUUCUGGCGGGCAUGCCUGUUCGAGCGUCAUUUCAACCAUCAAGCCCCCGGCUUGUGUUGGGGACCUGCGGCUGCCGCAGGCCCUGAAAAGCAGUGGCGGGCUCGCUGUCACACCGAGCGUAGUAGCAUACAUCUCGCUCUGGGCGUGCUGCGGGUUCCGGCCGUUAAACCACCUUCAUACCCCAAGGUUGACCUCGGAUCAGGUAGGAAGACCCGCUGAACUUAAGCAUAUCAAUAAGCGGAGGA
rnacentral:misc_RNA from 1 species